rnacentral:tRNA from 2 species
CGGGAUGUAGCGCAGUCCGGUUAGCGCACCAGCUUCGGGAGUUGGGGGUCGCAGGUUCGAAUCCUGUUAUCCCGA